UCAAGCGUUUAAGGGCGUGUGGCGGAUGCCUUGGCACUAAAAGACGAUGAAGGACGUGGUAUACUGCGAUAAGUUUCGGGGAACUGUAUGCGAGUUUUGAUCCGAAAAUUUCCGAAUGGGGAAACCCUACACUUUAUGUGUAACUUUAAAUUGAAUACAUAGAUUUAAAGAGAUAACCUGGAGAACUGAAACAUCUAAGUAACCAGAGGAAAAGAAAUCAAUUGAGAUUCCGUUAGUAGUGGCGAGCGAAACCGGAAUAGGCCAGUAGUUUAAUUAAGAAAACUUGAAUAGUUUGGAAAUGCUAACCAAAGAAGGUGAUAGUCCUGUAAAGGUAAUGCUUAAUUAAAUUCAUGAGUAAAGCGGGACACGUGAAAUCUUGCUCGAAUAUAGGGGGACCACCCUCUAAGCCUAAAUACUCUUUAGUGACCGAUAGUGAACUAGUACCGUGAGGGAAAGGUGAAAAGAACCCCUAUUAGGGGAGUGAAAUAGAACCUGAAACUGCAUGCCUACAAUCAGUCGAAGCUCUUUUUAGAGUGACGGCGUACCUUUUGUAUAAUGGGUCAGUGACUUAAUUUAUAAAGCAAGCUUAAGCCAUCUAGGUGUAGGCGUAGCGAAAGCAAGUCUUAAUAGGGCGAUUAGUUUUAUGAAUUAGACCCGAAAACGAAUGAGCUUACCAUGAGCAGGUUGAAUGCAAGGUAACACUUGCUGGAGGACCGAACCAGUUGACGUUGAAAAGUCUUUGGAUGACUUGUGGUAAGGGGUGAAAGGCCAACCAAAUUCGUAGAUAGCUGGUUUUCCGCGAAAACUAUUUAGGUAGUGCGAUGAAUAAAUAUAUAUUUAGAGGUAGAGCACUAAAUGGGCUAGGGGGAAGAGAUUCUUACCAAACCUAAUAAAACUCCGAAUGCUAAAUAUAGUUCUUCAUCAGACAGACUGUGGGUGCUAAGGUCCAUGGUCGAGAGGGAAAAAGCCCAGACCACCAGAUAAGGUCCCAAAAUUGUGAUUAAGUGUGAAAGGAUGUGGAAGUUCCUUAACAGCCGGGAGGUUGGCUUAGAAGCAGCCAUCCUUUAAAGAUAGCGUAACAGCUCACCGGUCUAAUAGAGUUUCUGCGCCGAAGAUGUAACGGGGCUAAAAUCACAUACCGAAUCUGUGGGUUCAUAAAAUAUUUCUUAUUUUAUGAGCGGUAGCGGAACGUUCUGUAAGCCUGUAAAGGAGUACUCGUGAGAGACUCUGGAGGUAUCAGAAGUGCGAAUGCUGACAUGAGUAACGAUAAAUAAAGUGAAAAACUUUAUCGCCGAAAAUCCAAGGGUUUCUGCGCAAGGUUAAUCCGCGCAGAGUUAGUCGGCCCCUAAGGCGAGGGCGAAAGCCGUAGUCGAUGGAAAUAAGGUUAAUAUUCCUUAACCAGAUGGAAGUGACGGAUUUUGUAAGUUGUGAGCUCUUAAUGGAUUGAGCUUGCCGCGAAAAAGUCCCAGGAAAUAGCUCCAUCAUUAGACCGUACCCUAAACCGACACAGGUGGAUUAAUAGAGUAUAUUUAGGCGCUUGAGAGAAUGAUGUUGAAGGAACUCGGCAAAAUGCUUCUGUAACUUCGGGAUAAAGAAGACCUUUAGUUGGGCAACCUAUAAAGGUGGCACAAGCCAGGGAGAAGCGACUGUUUAUCAAAAACACAGGACUCUGCUAACACGUAAGUGGAUGUAUAGGGUCUGACGCCUGCCCGGUGCUGGAAGGUUAAUGCGAUGGGUGCAAGCUCAUUUCUGAAGCCCCAGUAAACGGCGGCCGUAACUAUAACGGUCCUAAGGUAGCGAAAUUCCUUGUCGGGUAAGUUCCGACCUGCAUGAAUGGCGUAACGAUUUCUCCGCUGUCUCCAACAUCAACUCAGUGAAAUUGAAUUCUCCGUGAAGAUGCGGAGUUCGCGUAGUUAGACGGAAAGACCCCGUGCACCUUUACUGCAACUUUACAUUGGUGUUAGGAAAAACAUAUUUAGCAUAGGAGGGAGACAUUGAAGCAGAGGCGUCAGCCUUUGUGGAGUCGUCAGUGAAAUACCUCUUUUGUUUUUCUUGAUAUCUAACUGAUAGCCGUUAUCCGGCAUCAAGAC
rnacentral:rRNA from 1 species